rnacentral:rRNA from 1 species
AGAGUUUGAUCCUGGCUCAGGAUGAACGCUAGCGGCAGGCCUAAUACAUGCAAGUCGAGCGGCAAGUUGGGUAGUAAUACUUGACCUAGAGCGGCGCACGGGUGCGUAACGCGUAUGCAACCUACCUUUUACUGGGGGAUAGCCCGGAGAAAUCCGGAUUAAUACCGCAUAAGACCUAAGGGUGAAAAGGGGCCAAUUCUUGAAAGCUCUUGCCGGAAGAUGAACCUGCGUUAGAUUAGCUAGUUGGUGGGGUAAUGGCCUACCAAGGCAUAGAUGUCUAGCGGGUGUGAGAGCACGACCCGCGCCACUGGCACUGAGACACUGGCCAGACACCUACGGGUGGCUGCAGUCGAGAAUCUUCGGCAAUGGGCGAAAGCCUGACCGAGCGACGCCGCGUGCGGGAUGAAGGCCCUCGGGUUGUAAACCGCUGUCAGUAGUUAGGAAGUCCAUGAGGGUUAUCUCUCAUGGUUGACCGAUCUUCAGAGGAAGGACGGGCUAAGUUCGUGCCAGCAGCCGCGGUAAGACGAACCGUACGAACGUUAUUCGGAAUUACUGGGCUUAAAGGGUGCGUAGGCUGCACGGAAAGUUGGGUGUGAAAGCCCUCAGCUCAACUGAGGAAUUGCAUCCAAAACUGCCGUGCUUGAGGGAGACAGAGGUGAGCGGAACUCAAGGUGGAGCGGUGAAAUGCGUUGAUAUCUUGAGGAACACCGGUGGCGAAGGCGGCUCACUGGGUCUCUUCUGACGCUGAGGCACGAAAGCUAAGGUAGCAAACGGGAUUAGAUACCCCGGUAGUCCUUGCUGUAAACGAUGAGUGUUCGUAU